rfam:Triticum aestivum genome assembly, contig: Triticum_aestivum_CS42_TGACv1_scaffold_288719_4AL
CACCUACUCCCUCCGUUCGGAAUUACUUAUCUUGAAAAUGGAUGUAUCUAGAACUAAAAUACGUCUAGAUACAUCCAUUUCUGCGACAUGUAAUUUCGAACGGAGGGAGUAAAUU